rnacentral:tRNA from 1 species
CAUUAGAUGGCUGAAAGUAAGUAAUGGAAUUUUAAACCAUAUUAUAAUAAGUUAACGUUUAUUUCUAAUG